rnacentral:lncRNA from 1 species
GCUCAAAGGAACUAGAAAUUCUACUGUAAAUUCUAAAGAUCUGACUACAGCAUUUUUCCUAAUGAUGACAUAAAAGCAUUUCAUUUUCAAAAAGAAGAUGAAAAAGAGAAACUACUCCAGCAUCAAAGAAAAAAGUACAAGGAAUUAGAAUGCACAACAUAGUUAAGUGGAACACAUUCACACUGAAAAAAAAAAAAAGAAAAAAGUAAUUGUGUCAAAUUUCAAAGCAGAUAAGAACACAUUGACAAUUCCAAGUCAUUUGAGUCCUCAAGAAUCACUUAGUGCUAGGAAAAAAGCCUUUCAAUCCAAGGGGUUGCUACA